CGUGUGUCUUUAAUGUUUUACUGAAUAUUCAUGAUUCUGAGAAUAUGGUUAUAACCUUGGAUGUAAUAUCAAUUCGACAUACAUCUGUGUCCGACGAUCUAAUAACCUUCUAAACGCGUGCCAAAUAACUAAUGAGGUUCUUGACUUGUACUAUUUUUGCUUAUCUUGCAUCUUACAUAAUGUAUGUUUCUCUUAUGAAUUAAGAACUCUU
rnacentral:lncRNA from 1 species